CUCGCUGAGACUUUUAAAGAUGAGCAGCGCUUCCAGCUGGGCCUCAUGGAUGAUGCAGCAGAGUGUUUUGAGAACAUUUUAGAAAGGAUACACCUGCACCUGGUUUCUGAUUCAGCCACAGAAAUGUGUACUUCUAAAUCGUGCAUCACCCACCAGAAGUUUGCCAUGACCCUCUAUGAGCAGUUUGUCUGUCGUUAGCUGUGGCGCAUCAUCAGACCCUCUUCC